UAGAGUUUGAUCCUGGCUCAGGAUGAACGCUAGCAGAACGCCUAACACAUGCAAGUCAAACGGCCAGCAAUGGCAGUGGCAAACGAGCGAGUAACGCGUACUUAACCUGCCCAGAAGUUGUGAACAACCAUAGAGAUAUGGCUAAUCCACGAUAAUCCCUAAUGAAUGAAAAUAUUUAGGGCAAAGAUUUAUCGCUUUUGGAGGGGGGUGCGUCCUAUCAGGUAGUUGGUGAGGUAAUAGCUCACCAAGCCUAUGACGGGUAGCCGGUCUGAGAGGAUGUCCGGCCGCGAUGGAACUGAGACACGGUCCAUACUCCUACGGGAGGCAGCAGUGGGGAAUAUUGGACAAUGGACGAAAGUCUGAUCCAGCGAUUCUGCGUGGAGGAUGAAGCAUUACGGUGUGUAAACUCCUUUUGUGGUGGAAGACGAAUGACGGUACACCAGGAAUAAGCAUAAGCGAACUAUGUGCCAGCAGCCGCGGUAAUA
rnacentral:rRNA from 1 species